GAUGAACGCUGGCGGCGUGCCUAAUACAUGCAAGUCGAGCGAACAGACGAGGAGCUUGCUCCUCUGACGUUAGCGGCGGACGGGUGAGUAACACGUGGAUAACCUACCUAUAAGACUGGGAUAACUUCGGGAAACCGGAGCUAAUACCGGAUAACAUGUUGAACCGCAUGGUUCAACAGUGAAAGACGGUCUUGCUGUCACUUAUAGAUGGAUCCGCGCCGCAUUAGCUAGUUGGUAAGGUAACGGCUUACCAAGGCAACGAUGCGUAGCCGACCUGAGAGGGUGAUCGGCCACACUGGAACUGAGACACGGUCCAGACUCCUACGGGAGGCAGCAGUAGGGAAUCUUCCGCAAUGGGCGGAAGCCUGACGGAGCAACGCCGCGUGAGUGAAGAAGGUCUUCGGAUCGUAAAACUCUGUUAUUAGGGAAGAACAAAUGUGUAAGUAACUAUGCACGUCCUGACGGUACCUAAUCAGAAAGCCACGGCUAACUACGUG
rnacentral:rRNA from 1 species